CCAUCCUGACCUUAGAAGCACAUUAUACCAUAUCCUAGUAUUACAACUAAAUUCACCUAGUAAACAACCUCUUCAAAGAAGAAAAAAAAAUUGUUCAUUCUCUUCGUCCAUCUUCUUCUUUGUCACUUCAAAAUAUUUAUUCAUCCUCCAUCUUCUUCUUCGGUUUGUUUUUUUGUCUUGUCAUGCAUACCAAUCAAAGAAACGACAUAAGGAUUGGCAAGAGAACCCUAAUCUGUCAAGCCAUUGAAUCUCGUAUUUCCCAAACUCCUCCAUAAAUCAAUCCUCGUCGUCUCCACCAAACCCUUAACCUCGAUCUCUCCUUGAACAACGAUUACGUCUCAUAAUCAUCUCCGCAAGACCUCGCAAACCCCUCAAUUUCACUCCUUCAAGCGUCUCCCCAGAUCCCAACUCCUCUGAUUCGAUAAAGGAGAGACAGAUGCAGCAGAGACAACCAGUAGCCCUGCCUGAACAGCUAGAAGAAAUCUGGGAAAGGAAAGAGACAUGUUAAAGGUGGUAACCGCUUCUGGAAGAACAUUGGUUUGGGUUUUCAGACGCCAUUGGUUUGGUUUGGCUUGCUCGCAAAAAAAAGAAAAUUCCAUGGGCGUUUCUAUCCUACGAGAGUUUCUAUGCAAUCCCAUAGCCAGAGAAAGUUUGCUUCUCUUAAGGCAAUUGCAAGUGGCACACGAGUACUUUAAUGCUUAGGCUUAGGCUUACACAAACAAAUGAGCCUCUAUGGAUCAGAACUGCUGGAUGCAGAGACGUUCUCAAUCUCGAAAGUUAUGACAAAAGCUUUGGUUUCAUCUGGCAUGCACGGUUCACAUAAGAGAUGCAUUGCAUUUGGUAAAAAGAUAACACUGAUUGUUGAAAAAGAUAUUUGUUUUUUUGUUUAUGUGUGUGAAAAUUGUUACCUACUUUGCUUUUAGCUUUGUGUUAGGUGAUUGAAGAGUUUCAAGUGUUUUCUCCACUAGUACAGACGCGUGAGUUCAGUAUGCUAAGGUACUAUCAGCAAAUCGAAAAUUGAACUUGGGCAGUUGUAAAUGUCUCUUAUGAGUUUCCUCAGUUCAUGACUCAUUCUCGGUCAUAUUGAUGUCCUUCUGGUUGCUUGAUACAAGACUUGUCAAAUGGCUAUUCCAAGGUUACUUGGGUUGAACAUGUUCUGAACGUUGGAUCGCUACUUUGGAUGAAAAUGAGAGUUAUAAAACAGAGGAAGCUGUUGAAGUUCUCAAAAAGCUUCAUGAUUCGUCGACUUUGACAGGAAAAAGAACAGAUCAUAUUAUUAUCAGCUAAAGAUCUUGUUAAUGACUCAGACGAGUAGUAAUGAAGAUAGCCAAAAUAAUAACACUUGAAGUUGCUUUUAAAAAAAUAAGACUUCGCAAGACUUGAGUUAUUAGUAUAAGACUUGUUAAAUUUAUGUAAUAGUAUAUUUUUUAGUUUUACCAAUGAAAAGGAGGAGGAUUAACAAAAGAAUGAUAUUUAUAAAGGUAUAUGUUUAAAAUUUUGAUGUAAAUAAUUUUUUUAUGGUUGCUCAAUAAAUUUGAAAUUUCAUAAAAAAA